CCUACGGGUGGCAGCAGUGGGGAAUAUUGGGCAAUGGGCGCAAGCCUGACCCAGCAACGCCGCGUGAAGGAAGAAGGCUUUCGGGUUGUAAACUUCUGUUAAGGGGGAAGAGCAUAAGACGGUACCCCUUGAAUAAGCCACGGCUAACUACGUGCCAGCAGCAGCGGUUAUACGUAGGUGGCACGCGUUGUUCGGAGUUACUGGGAGUAAAGGGCGUGCAGCCGGAGAGACAAGUCAGAUGUGAAAGCCACGGGCUCAACCCGUGAACUGCAUUUGAAACUGUUUCCCUUGAGUGUCGGAGAGGUAAUCGGAAUUCCUUGUGUAGCGGUGAAAUGCGUAGAUAUAAGGAAGAACACCAGUGGCGAAGGCAGAUUACUGGACGAUAACUGACGGUGAGGCGCGAAAGCGUGGGGAGCAAACAGGAUUAGAUACCCUGGUAGUC
rnacentral:rRNA from 1 species